rnacentral:rRNA from 1 species
UAAUACGUAGGGUGCGAGCGUUGUCCGGAAUUACUGGGCGUAAAGAGCUCGUAGGUGGUUUGUUGCGUCGUCUGUGAAAUUCCGGGGCUUAACUUCGGGGUGGCAGGCGAUACGGGCAUAACUAGAGUGCUGUAGGGGAGACUGGAAUUCCUGGUGUAGCGGUGGAAUGCGCAGAUAUCAGGAGGAACGCCGAUGGCGAAGGCAGGUCUCUGGGCAGUAACUGACGCUGAGGAGCGAAAGCAUGGGGAGCGAACAGGAUUAGAUACCCUGGUAGUCCAUGCUGUAAACGGUGGGCGUUAGGUGUGGGGACCGGUUUGGUUUCUGUGCCGUAGCUAACGCAUUAAGCGCCCCGCCUGGGGAGUACGGCCGCAAGGCUA